GAUGAACGCUGGCGGCGUGCCUAAUACAUGCAAGUCGAGCGAACGGACGAGAAGCUUGCUUCUCUGAUGUUAGCGGCGGACGGGUGAGUAACACGUGGAUAACCUACCUAUAAGACUGGGAUAACUUCGGGAAACCGGAGCUAAUACCGGAUAAUAUUUUGAACCGCAUGGUUCAAAAGUGAAAGACGGUCUUGCUGUCACUUAUAGAUGGAUCCGCGCUGCAUUAGCUAGUUGGUAAGGUAACGGCUUACCAAGGCAACGAUGCAUAGCCGACCUGAGAGGGUGAUCGGCCACACUGGAACUGAGACACGGUCCAGACUCCUACGGGAGGCAGCAGUAGGAAAUCUUCCGCAAUGGGCGAAAGCCUGACGGAGCAACGCCGCGUGAGUGAUGAAGGUCUUCGGAUCGUAAAACUCUGCUAUUAGGGAAGAACAUAUGUGUAAGUAACUGUGCACAUCUUGACGGUACCUAAUCAGAAAGCCACGGCUAACUACGUG
rnacentral:rRNA from 1 species